rnacentral:rRNA from 1 species
UCGAGCGGGAACCUCAGGAGGGGUAACCCUUCUGAGGGGAGAGCGGCGAACGGGUGAGUAACACGUGGGCAACCUGCCCCGGACACCGGGAUAACCCAGGGAAACCUGAGCUAAUACCGGAUAAGCCGGCGUGAUCGCAUGGUCGCGCCGGGAAAGCUCCGACGGGACGGGAUGGGCCCGCGGCCUAUCAGCUUGUUGGUGGGGUAACGGCCCACCAAGGCGACGACGGGUAGCUGGUCUGAGAGGACGGCCAGCCACACUGGGACUGAGACACGGCCCAGACUCCUACGGGAGGCAGCAGUGGGGAAUCUUGCGCAAUGCGCGAAAGCGUGACGCAGCGACGCCGCGUGGGGGAUGAAGGCCCUCGGGUUGUAAACCCCUUUCGGCAGGGACGAAGGGAAACUGACGGUACCUGCAGAAGAAGUCCCGGCUAACUACGUGCCAGCAGCCGCGGUAAGACGUAGGGGACGAGCGUUGUCCGGAUUCAUUGGGCGUAAAGCGCGCGUAGGCGGCUCGGAAAGUCGGGCGUGAAAUGCCGGGGCUCAACCCCGGGACUGCGUCCGAUACUUCCGAGCUGGAGGUAGGUAGGGGAGAUCGGAAUUCCUGGUGUAGCGGUGAAAUGCGCAGAUAUCAGGAGGAACACCGGUGGCGAAGGCGGAUCUCUGGGCCUUACCUGACGCUGAGGCGCGAAAGCUAGGGGAGCGAACAGGAUUAGAUACCCUGGUAGUCCUAGCCGUAAACGUUGGGUGCUAGGUGUGGGCGGAUAUCGACCCCGUCCGUGCCGAAGCUAACGCAUUAAGCACCCCGCCUGGGGAGUACGGCCGCAAGGCUAAAACUCAAAGGAUUUGACGGGGGCCCGCACAAGCGGC